ensembl:lncRNA
CCAAAUUACCGUCCAACUCAAAUAAAUGCCUCGCUUAAUUGUCCAGCAAAUUUUGAUUAAAGGAUUGUUAUCGCUUAGCUUCAUAUGCAGAUAAACAGAACAUAUACAAUAUAUACAAUAUAUAUAAUAACCCUGUCACAUUCACAAUUAAAUUAAUUGCAAGCAAAUCAGUAUGUUAAACUAUUACAUUGUUUCGAUCUUUUUUCAUUGUGUCGCAUUGUUUAAACAUUUUAUGUUUGUACCUGCACGUGUAGUUGCGGUGAGAGCGCGUGGGAAAGGCGGGGUCGAGAAGGGUGGCGUCACGCAUCAGGGCGGGGCCACACUAUGCAGCAGCUCAAAGAAGAGCAAGAGGCAGCGCGCUGGAAUUUGGCAACAGAUAUUCAGAUGCAUCACAACUCUUCCGAUUGCAAUAUGGAUUGACACAGCGCCCACUGAGAUAUUCGGUGACAGUGUGAAUGCUAAGCAAACCCGGACCAAGAGAACGAAACUACUUUUGUAAACACACACUUAGAUGGCUGAUAAAAAUGAUCUUCUUAUCCUCUUUAUCAGCAUUGCCUCAACCCAGGUCACGUGUUUCAGGCUCAUCACAGACUGUUACGAUCAGUCACGUCUGUGAGUCAGAUAUAACACUUUCCCCUGGCAGUGUGAGCUGUUAUUUUUUAUUCCCCUUGACUACCUGAAAAGGCACCUUCAAAAGAUUUACAGCCUGAGAAUUUCAAUCACAGAGACAUGUUAUUAUCUUAAAGAUUUGCAGUGUUCUCAAGAGAUGCUGCAACCCUGUGCCAGGUUGCCAGAGUAUCCAUUUUUUCCCUAUGGCUCCUAGAGACCAUUAGGUCCAGACUGGGAAGCACUUUGCCAUUAAGGUUAUGUAAUUGUAAACUCAGGAAAAAAUUCAUAAAAGUCAGUUACAUUCUGAAAUUUUUUUGAGCUCAAUUGAUCAUUUUUAUUUUGAAGAGAGUUUUCUUUUUGUUUAUCUUUAAAGUGUAACAUUUUAUUCUAUGCUUUUGUUGCAUGUUGACAACACGAAAGGGCUCAUGCCGAGCUGAGAUGCAUGAUGGGAUACAUGCUGUGGUUCACAUGGAAUUGGAUCUGUCUCAGUGUUUUAUCUAUAAAUGACUCAGCUUCUUCAACACUGCCUGCAGGCUGGGAGCAGAUCAGAACAGAUCUGUGGAGCAUUUGUUGUUGAACUCAUGCCGUGGUGCUUCCCAAGACUUGCCUGCUAGUUAUGCAACACAGGCCUGAAUUGUUGAUAUUUCUUUGGAUAUAAGAUAUUGUGGAACUAAAAGGUCUGUCUGCUUCUAUUUCUACCCUAGAAAGGCGCUCACAUGAUUGUAAACGUGACGUGUGAAAAGGUCCUCAACCGUAUGCUAUGGUGAGGCAAGGAUGUUAUAUCAUUUUGGUCCUGAUGCAGACCAUUUCCGCAAUAUGUUCCUUCUUCAGUCAUGUGAAUGAUGGAGUCUUGAAAGCAAUCUGGCAUGAAUAAUAAAUGUGCAACUCUUACCA